rnacentral:rRNA from 1 species
GUAUGAGGUAAGACAACAGGGAUUGCCCCAGUAACGGCGAGUGAAGCGGCAACAGCUCAAAUUUGAAAUCUGGCUCUCGGGCCCGAGUUGUAAUUUGUAGAGGAUGCUUUUGGUGAGGUGCCUUCCGAGUUCCCUGGAACGGGACGCCAUAGAGGGUGAGAGCCCCGUCUGGUUGGACACCGAUCCUCUGUAAAGCUCCUUCGACGAGUCGAGUAGUUUGGGAAUGCUGCUCUAAAUGGGAGGUAUAUGUCUUCUAAAGCUAAAUACCGGCCAGAGACCGAUAGCGCACAAGUAGAGUGAUCGAAAGAUGAAAAGAACUUUGAAAAGAGAGUUAAACAGUACGUGAAAUUGUUGAAAGGGAAGCGCUUGUGACCAGACUUGGGCUUGGUUGAUCAUCCGGGGUUCUCCCCGGUGCACUCUUCCGGCCCAGGCCAGCAUCAGUUCGCCCUGGGGGACAAAGGCUUCGGGAAUGUGGCUCUCUCCGGGGAGUGUUAUAGCCCGUUGCGUAAUACCCUGUGGCGGACUGAGGUUCGCGCAUUCGCAAGGAUGCUGGCGUAAUGGUCAUCAGUGACCCGUCUUGAAACACGGACCAAGGAGUCGUCUUCGUAUGCGAGUGUUCGGGUGUCAAACCCCUACGCGAAAUGAAAGUGAACGCAGGUGAGAGCUUCGGCGCAUCAUCGACCGAUCCUGAUGUUAUCGGAUGGAUUUGAGUAAGAGCAUACGGGGCCGGACCCGAAAGAAGGUGAACUAUGCCUGUGUAGGGUGAAGCCAGAGGAAACUCUGGUGGAGGCUCGCAGCGGUUCUGACGUGCAAAUCGAUCGUCAAACAUGGGCAUGGGGGCGAAAGACUAAUCGAACCUUCUAGUAGCUGGUUUCCGCCGAAGUUUCCCUCAGAUAGCAGUGUUGAACUCAGUUUUAUGAGGUAAAGCGAAUGAUUAGGGACUCGGGGGCGCUAUUUAGCCUUCAUCAUCUCAAACUUUAAAUAUGUAGAGCCCUGUGCUUAAUUGACGUGGGCAUUCGAUGAUCAACACUAGUGGGCCA